rnacentral:lncRNA from 12 species
AUGGUUAACAUUUGUAUGGUGUAUAAAUUUCCAUCCUUUAGCCUUAAACUUAUUUAUAUCUUUAGUUUUUGUUUUAAUUCCAGUGUAGUUAACAGUGUUAUAGGACACUCAACUGAUUAUGCCACCCAGGCACCCCACAAGUUCUUCAUAUUAGCUGGAGAAGAUUACAGGGAAGAGGCGUGCUAUGUUCCAAUGUGGAAUGAAGUUUGCUGGGGUCUCUCCGAAGGACCUGAAUUUAUAUUUGGAACUGAUAAAGAUCCUGAGCAGUGGGAAAUGUCCACAAAGUAGUUGCCAGUGGCUAAGAGAUGAUUAAAAAGAAAGGAUAUACUUCUUGGCAUGUAACCCUAUCUGUAGCUGAUUUAAUGGAAAGUAUUUUGAAGAACCUUAGGAGAGUACAUCCAGUUUCUACUGUAAGUAAGGUAGGAUGUUUAUGUUUGAAAAACCAUUUAACAUUAACAUAAAAUAGGGAUAAAAGAACAUUUGUGAGGAACAAUUACUUUUUGAGGUUGAUCUUGUGUCUUUUCCUAAAACCUAUUCUUUGUUGCUGCUAAAAUAGAGAAAGGGGUGGUGGUGGUGGUAGAGGGGCUUAUCUUUGUAGACCUUUGUCCUGGUAUUUAUUUCAUUCAAUUACAUAAAAGUUUAACUCUACAAAUAUCUGAUAAUAUUGGGAACCAUUGAGGGUAGAUCUUGCUCCAUUUUGAGUUGUUCCCUAAGAGUUCCAAUUAUGUCCAAUGGAGAGACCUAAGAAAGAAUCGCUAGUUACAAAAGUACUCCAAGUCUCCUGGAGAAGGGGAAGUUGAGGCCUGACGUAAAACUCUGAAUGUGACAGGUUAAAGCCAAAUGGACUCAUAUCAUUGGGAAUAAAGUAACUGAAAUUUUGAAGUGAUUCCCUGAU